CAACAGAACUGCUUCCAGACCCAAAGUCCAUCUGAAGACAUUUUUCACAUUUUCUACUUCCAGAUAUUGUUCUAGAGCUCCACCUAUUGGAUAACAGUAACCAAGAUAGAACACAGAAUACAGCCACACUCUAAGAGAUCUCCCCUGGAUAUCAAGAUCAGCACCAGAUCAAGUCUCUGAAUGAUUUUUGAAGUGACAGAACCCACAAAUAUUUGGAGUAUAACAAAUUUCCAGCAGAAGAUAUUUUUGGAAGAACUACAUAAAAGGUGAAGAAGAGACAAAACCAAUGGAUCCCCAAGUGAGAAAUACUAUAAGGAACAUCAUUGGUUUGUGGACAAUAUCAUAUUUCUUUUCUACAUCCAUCUUUUUUACCUACAGAAAACGUCUUCAGAAAGUAGGUUUUCUGUGGCAUGUGCAUGGGAUCCUGUCAGUGACAUAUUCAAUGGAAGUGGGUGCUUGUAUUUGUUUUUUGUGGGCAAAGCACAGUUGUCCAGGUAAUGGUGACCUGGGAGCAAGGAUGGGUAAGGGGAGGGUAAUUGGACAAUAUUAAAGGGCAGUCCUCAAAAAAAACUAACUGGGUGUCAACUCCCUAUGCUCAUUCUAUUAUUACUCCAGUCUCUACACAGUCUUGAGCUCAGGUAUCCAUUUUUUUCCUUUUAAAGACAACUGUGACUGUGACUCUCCCCAGAUAUCAGCAGAAGCAUGUGGCCCAGAGAUCUCUUGAGGAAUUUAGAGAUGGGGAGGAGAAAGGUUCCUGAGGAUGGAAUAGGUUGUGUAUAAUUCAGUGUGUCAGGUAAUACAGAGGUGGUAGAGAGAGCCAGUUCUGUGACUUGGGGUGGCUGAAGAGGCAAGUGGCUCCUACCUCCCUAGAGGAGAGAACUGGGAAGGGAAACCAAAUAGUCUACUUUGGAACAGUUUCUAAGAGGUCAUCGAUCAUUCUUUGUUCUGCAGGAUUUAUUCAUGAGGAAGAUUGGACGAACUGGUGUUGGAGCCUCAUUUUGCUCUCCAUCACAUUCUUAACAAUAUUUUUUUUUAAAUUUAUAAUUCAAUAUUAUUUCUCUUUUUUUAUGAUACUGAUGUUUUCAAUUAAUUUCACAAAUAUUGACAGCAUCAUCUUUUUGAUGUCUGUAUUAAGGAUAUAUUUUUUGCGUUUUCUUCCCAAACUUUUAGAGUCGAGCUCUGCUUCUGGUAUAUAGGGGGCCUAUUCCACACUUCCUAUACAGGCUUUGAGCACAAGGUUUUCAGUGGGAAGCUUUGCCUGCUUUUUUUCAGGUAAACAGCCUAGUUUCCCAGAAUUUGCCUUCUAAGCUGGGACUGGAAGCUGCCCCACUCAUUUGCUCUUCUACUGAGCCAAGACUGAAGGUCUUAAGGUGCUCAUGAGCUGUGAUUAAGACUCUCUCACCAGUUUCCCACAGUCUAUCUGAGCUCUCCUGAACACCCUUUUCACUUCAGGGCACCUGACCUUUCUUGAAGUUUUUCCAGUCUCUCUUGAGCUGGCAAGUAGUUUCAUUUUAGUUAUGUAAAUUAUGUAAAACAUUUCCAUAUUAGUCAUUUUGUACAAGAAGACUCAACUAAAAGAAAAAAAAUGUAAUAAAGUGAUAAAUAGCAUGCUUCACUCUA